rnacentral:rRNA from 1 species
AGGGUUGGGCUGUUCGCCCAUUAAAGCGGCACGCGAGCUGGGUUUAGAACGUCGUGAGACAGUUCGGUCCCUAUCCUCUAUAAGCGAAGGAAAUUUGAAGGGAGCUGUUCCUAGUACGAGAGGACCGGAAUGGACAAACCUCUAGUGUACCUGUUGUCACAUCAGUGGCACCGCAGGGUAGCUACGUUUGGACGGGAUAAGCGCUGAAAGCAUCUAAGCGCGAAGCCCACCCUAAGAUAAGAUUUCCCUUAUCAAUAAUGAUACUGAAGACUCCCAGGAGAAUACUGGGUAGAUAGGUUACAGAUGUAAGUGCAGUAAUGUAUUUAGUCGAGUAAUACUAAGUAGUCGUGAGGCUUAAUCAAUUUUUA